AUUGAACGCUGGCGGCAGGCCUAACACAUGCAAGUCGAGCGAGCGGCGGACGGGUGAGUAAUGUCUGGGAAACUGCCUGCUGGAGGGGGAUAACUACUGGAAACGGUAGCUAAUACCGCAUACCAUCAGAUGAGCCCAGAUGGGUUUAGCUGGUAGGUGGGGUAACGGCUCACCUAGGCGACGAUCCCUAGCUGAUCUGAGAGGAUGACCAGCCUAACUGAACCUCAGACACGGUCCAGACUCCUACGGGAGGGAGCAGUGGGGAAUAUUGCACAAUGGGCGCAUGCCUGAUGCAGCCAUGCCGCGUGUGUGCAGAAGGCCUCCGGGUUUUCAAGCACUUUCAGCGGGGAGGCGUUACCCGCAGAAGAAGCACCGGCUAACUCCGUGCCAGCAGCCGCGGUAAUUC
rnacentral:rRNA from 1 species